GGGCGCGCUCGGCGCUCGACCCGCCGCCCUGCGUACGGCGCGCGUCCUACUCCGGGGCUCCGGCGCCGCCAUCAUGUCGACGGCCAUGAAUUUUGGGUCCAAGAGCUUCCAGCCGCGGCCCCCGGACAAGGGCAGCUUCCCGCUGGAUCACUUCGGCGAAUGCAAAAGCUUUAAGGAGAAGUUCAUGAAGUGUCUCCGCGACAAUAGAUUCGAAAAUGCUUUGUGCAGAAGUGAGUCGAAAGACUACUUAGAAUGCAGAAUGGAGAGGCAAGUACCUGCUGGCAAUGAACGACUUCUGGAACUUCCCAGCCACUCCCAUGGAAACAUUUUUUUUUUUCCCCCAAGAGGUCAUUGCAGCGGGCCUCAUUCAUCCCCCAGGUUCCAAGCCUUUGUCUUUGAGAACGUAGAGUGGCUCGCCCCUGGAACGGAGGCCUGCCAGAUUCAGUGGCACCGAAGGUUUCACAGUCACGGGGACCCUGCGGAGAGGGAGCGCGUCUUACGGGGUUGCAUUCCUGAGUGUUUUCUUUGCACAUUUGGGAGCUGCUGACCCGUCAUUAAGGUUUCAGAAUCGUACAUCAUAAAAAUGCUGACGGAGUCAAAAGAUGUGCAGGCCGUGGGCACAGGGUUUCUUCCUCUCACGUUCUCAGACCAUAAAAAUACCGUUUGGUUCCACGUAGCUCGGCAGUGCCUGAAAUAUGACAGGGGAGACAGUGGGCCAUUCAGAAACGGUGAAACAUGGAGGUUUGUUCUGUCCUGACCAGAACUGACCAGCGCUCGCUUUUUUUUUUUUUUUUUAAACGUUUAUUUGGUUUUUUUUGAGACAGAGAGAGACAGAGCAUGAAUGGGGGAGGGUCAGAGAGAGGGAGACACAGAAUCUGAAACAGGCUCCAGGCUCCAAGCUGUCAGCACAGAGCUCGACGUGGGGCUCAAGCUCACCAAUGGCGAAAUUGUGACCUGAGCCCAAGUCAGAUGCUUAACUGAAGGGGCACCGCUAAAUUACUGUCUUUUAAGUUGAUAUACCUUUCAGAAAUGAACUGAGUUUCUUUCUGGUGCUGCCACGCCCUGGAGACAGUUUGAAGUUGGUUUCUGACCACGUGUGAGGGUGUGAGCAGGUCACCUGCCCCCGUGAAGCUCAGGUGAGCCCACAGUGGCCAGCACACGCAGGCAGCCGCUCCUGCUGGGAGCUGCUCCAGAGAGUUGGGCCGUCUGGGUCCCCAGAGAGGCUCCUGGCUCGUCUGGCAAAGGACAGCAGAAGGGUUCUGACUUUUCUCCCCAUGUGACCCUGGAAGUAGGCUGUCUGCUCUCCACGUGGCCACGCCUCGCUCAGCACGGCCUCUGGAGACCAGCCUGCCCUGAGGUCUGCUGAGGUCAGUGGGGACGGGGUGGCGGCGGGGGGGGUGCAGCUCGCCUCUCCGUGAGUUCCGUUAUUUCAAGUGGCUUCUCUGGUUGGUCUCGUGACGUUAAGAACAAUGUAGGGGGUACAUGUGUGUUCAGACUUGGUCGGUGAUUUUGGCUGUAGACUUUUGGAUGGUUUUCAGUUCCAAGUCCAUGACCAUCCAGGUUCAGUAUCGAGACUGCACAUUUAUUUCCCUUCCCACUCUUUGUAAACCUUUUUAUUUCUUUUCAUGCUGAAAUCCCAGACGUUAUUUACCCCUACGAACAUCCAUAGGCGUCUUUCUUUUAACGUUUGUUUAGUUUUAAGUGGGAGGGAGGCAGAGAGGGAGGGGACAGAGGAUCCGAAGUGGGCACUGUGCUCACAGCCCAAUGAGGACCUCGAACUCGUGAACCGUGAGAUCGUGACCUGAGCCACAGUCGGACGCUCAACCAACUGAGCCACCGGGCGCCCCCACCAUAUGCAUCUUUGUAGAAAACUGGACCACAGUGAGAUUUUAGAGUUGCCUCUUGAGGACUUGGGCCGUCUCAGCUCGACGUGGAAGCGUGUGUGUGGUUUGGGUGUGGAUCACACUCUCGUGGGAAGAGCUGUUAAAUCGGGGAUGACUUUGUUGGCCAAGAAAACAGCAAGUACGCUGUGAUCUCCGAUCUCAAGCCUCUGUGACCUUUUGACUUUGAGUUCCUGCCCCGUGCGGUGGGCAUCCGGGGGCUGUGCCACACACCCUGGCGUGCGAUCCGGGCCUCCUGCCCGGGCUGGAGGAGGCCCGGCGCACGCUCCUUGGAAAGCCUCAGGUCCUAAAAACCUGCACUGUCCCCUUAUGCUGAAGGGGAGGCGUCCACGUCAUCCUUUUGGCUUUAGAACUUGGUAAUCGUUGGAUUGUUGUUGUUGUGUCCUGGCCACAGAGCUGGAUUUUGUGAAGACUCACACGUCUGUAGAAAGGGACUCUUGAACCACGUCUCAUUUAGCUUGUAGUGUUUUCCCCCUCGCUCCCUGUUUGCUGCUGAACACACAGGUCCUUCCUGUCGUGUCUCGAGAAGCACUGCUGCUCCCCGUGCUCCUGGUGCCCCCAGCACACUCACUUCUGCAGCGAGAUGUCUGACGCAGGGCCUGCGGGCCGCGCUCCUCGUGGAUGCUCCGGUGCAGAACUGCUUCUGCCUUUCCAGCUUCUAGAGGCGCCCACGCCCCUCGGCUCGUGGCCCUGCUCCCUCUGGAAGCCAGCGAUGCCGUGUCUCUGGCCCGUCCUCCUCCUCCGUCCUUCUGACCAAAGCCAGCGCACGCUCUCUGAUUUUAAGCGUUCCCGCGUUGCAGCUGAGUCCGCCUGGGGAGUCCGAGGUGGUCUCCCCUCAGCAGCACCUGGUCGGCUCCUGUGUUCCGCCUCAGCCCAUCCCCCUUUGCCGCGUAAGGACACAGAUAACACAGUCAGUCUGGUCUACAAGCGGACUUUGUACCUUUCAGUGGAUUCCAGCUUUUUAUAACAGAAAUUGCCGUGCGCACCAGUGGAGGGAACGCAGCGCCGCGGCACCUGCCCACUCCCCCGUCCCCGCGGCUGGAGCCCUCGAGGGCACGUACCCUAAACACUUAGUUUCGUUCUCAGUGGGGACGGCCUGGACAGCCCUUGUGAAGCUUGGGUAGAGGUCAUCUGCCAGGUUUUGUAUUUCUGCAGGAGGGUAGCCGGCUCGCCUGGAGCCCCACAGAACCCGCAGAAAGUGGGUCGUCUGACCGGUGACCAGAAUACGGCCGGAAGACACCCGACACGCAAAACGCACGUUGUCGCUGAGGCUUCUGGUCGGCGGGGGCUGGAGUCCUUAAGUUCUGGGGAGUCAGGAGUUAGGAACGGAUUUUCGACUGUGCAGGCAGCUGAUGGCACAGGAGCCCCUGGAAAAACUGGGAUUCGGAGAUUUGAUGGAUGGAAAACCAGGGGCAGAAACUAACUCCUGAUGGGAAGAAGUCCAUCCACCGGCUGCUGGCUUUUCCAGGGUGGAGCGUGUUGGGUGACCUUGUCAACUGACGGUUUAUGGUUAGGCGCUGUGACUUCAGGAGAAGUUUCUGGAACGCCCUCCUUGGCGGAAACCCCUCCUCUUGAUGUCUCCCAGGUUAUUUUGAGAAGCGAUUGUCCCCUUUAGGUCUCAUUUUCCCAGGAGCCUUAGAUUUUAUCUUUACAUCGAGAGUUCCUAGGGAGGCCUGUGGCAGGUGGGAGAAAGGAGAGCAGAGUCAUGCCCGCUGCGCGAGGGGACACGCAGGCAUCCGCGACGCGGUGACUCCCUCUGUGAUACCGUCCGUAGCUUCUCAGUACUGACAUACUGAAUGCUAGCGGUUUCAGCCCAUCACAUAGACGCUGCCCGAAAACCAUUUCCUGGCAAAAUGGUUUCCUUCUGUGCCCAUUUAUUUCCCGUGUUUUUUUUUUUUUUUAAGCAAAAUAUAAAAUAUAAACUUGGAAAUAAGAUUGUUAACUUUUGACAUAUUUGACUUACUUGUUUUUUUUCUGGUAGUGCCUGAAACACCAGUAUCUUUUUUUUUUUAAUUUUUUUAACGUUUUAUUUAUUAUUGAGAGACAGAGCAUGAGCAUGGGAGGGGUAGAGAGAGGAGCAGACACAGAAUCCGAAGCAGACUCCAGGGUCUGAGCUGUCAGCACAGAGCCCGACGCGGGGCUCGAACCCACAACCCGUGAGAUCAUGACCCGAGCCGAAGUCGGACGCCCCACCGACUGAGCCCCCCUGGCGCCUCGAAUCACCAGCACCUUUGAACCAGAGGCUCAUUUUCGGACCUGUGUGCGUGUACAUAAAGCCAGUUUAAUUUCAGUAACUCA